CCUACGGGUGGCAGCAGUGAGGAAUAUUGGUCAAUGGACUCAAGUCUGAACCAGCCAUGCCGCGUGCAGGAAGACGGCUCUAUGAGUUGUAAACUGCUUUUGUACGAGGGUAAACGCAGAUACGCGUAUCUGUCUGAAAGUAUCGUACGACUAAGGAUCGGCUAACUCCGUGCCAGCAGCCGCGGUAAUACGGAGGAUUCAAGCGUUAUCCGGAUUUAUUGGGUUUAAAGGGUGCGUAGGCGGUCGGAUAAGUUAGAGGUGAAAUCCCGAGGCGCAACUUCGGAAUUGCCUCUGAUACUGUUAGGCUAGAGAGUAGUUGCGGUAGGCGGAAUGUAUGGUGUAGCGGUGAAAUGCUUAGAGAUCAUACAGAACACCGAUUGCGAAGGCAGCUGACCAAGCUACUUCUGACGUUGAGGCACGAAAGCGUGGGGAGCAAACAGGAUUAGAUACCCCGGUAGUC
rnacentral:rRNA from 1 species